GGGAUUGUGGCUCAGUGGCAGAGUACUUGCCUUGCAAGUAUGAGGCUUUGGGUUCGAUCUUCAACACCA
rnacentral:tRNA from 1 species